rnacentral:rRNA from 1 species
UACGUAGGGUGCGAGCGUUGUCCGGAAUUAUUGGGCGUAAAGGGCUCGUAGGCGGUGUGUCGCGUCGGUCGUGAAAACUUGGGGCUUAACCCUGAGCUUGCGGUCGAUACGGGCAUCACUGGAGUUCGGCAGGGGAGACUGGAAUUCCUGGUGUAGCGGUGAAAUGCGCAGAUAUCAGGAGGAACACCGGUGGCGAAGGCGGGUCUCUGGGCCGAUACUGACGCUGAGGAGCGAAAGCGUGGGGAGCGAACAGG